rnacentral:rRNA from 1 species
AUGGCUCAGGUCGACGGCGGCAACGGCGGCCACGCCAUCGACAUGGACGUCGGCGGAGGCGCCAAGCACACGGGGCCUCUCGCCGGCCAUCAGCUCGCCUCUCCAAGCAAUCCAAGCCACGUCAUCGACAUCGACGUCGGCGGAGCCAAGCACGUCGGCGACCAGCUCGCGUCUCCGGCCUAUCCCUGCCACGUCGACGCGGCGCCCGCCGAGCCAUCAGAGUGCGGGGUGUGCAUGGAGCCGCUCGAGUGGGUGGCGAUCGGGCCGUGCGGCCACCGCGAGGUCUGCUCGGACUGCGCGGUCCGCAUGCGCGCCGGCUCCAAGUCCCAGCACGCCAGCCGCCGGUGCUGCAUCUGCAGGGAGCCCUGCCCCACCGUGCUCGUCACCAGGUCCGGCGCCGGCGGGCCGCGGGCGUGCCCCAGGCUGCCGCCACUGGGCGCGUUCCAGGGACCGGUGGGCGGCUACUGGUACCACAGCGGCUCGGCGGCGUACUUCGACGACGAGCGGCAGUACGAGGCGGCUAGGAAGGCGUACCCGAAGGCGGAGGAUGGCGUGCGCGACGAGGGCGACGGCUUCGAGCCGGCGUGCCCGUGGCUCUGCUCGCCGCUGGCGACCGGCCUGUUUUACGUGGCUCUCUUUUUGUGGGUUGGCUUUAUGGUCGGCGUCAACGCGGGCGUCAUACCCUACUGGGGCGCUCAUUGA